GGACCGGCCAACUACGUGCCAGCAGCCGCGGUAAUACGUAGGGUCCGAGCGUUGUCCGGGAAUUACUGGGCGUAAAGAGCUCGUAGGGUGGUUUGUCGCGUUGUUCGUGAAAACUCACAACUCAAUUUGUGGGCGUGCGGGCGAUACGGGCAGACUAGAGUACUGCAGGGGAGACUGGAAUUCCUGGUGUAGCGGUGGAAUGCGCAGAUAUCAGGAGGAACACCGGUGGCGAAGGCGGGUCUCUGGGCAGUAACUGACGCUGAGGAGCGAAAGCGUGGGGAGCGAACAGGAUUAGAUACCCUGGUAGUCCACGCCGUAAACGGUGGGUACUAGGUGUGGGUUUCCUUCCUUGGGAUCCGUGCCGUAGCUAACGCAUUAAGUACCCCGCCUGGGGAGUACGGCCGCAAGGCUAAAACUCAAAGAAAUUGACGGGGGCCCGCACAAGCGGCGGAGCAUGUGGAUUAAUUCGAUGCAACGCGAAGAACCUUACCUGGGUUUGACAUGCACAGGACGUGCCUAGAGAUAGGUAUUCCCUUGUGGCCUGUGUGCAGGUGGUGCAUGGCUGUCGUCAGCUCGUGUCGUGAGAUGUUGGGUUAAGUCCCGCAACGAGCGCAACCCUCGUCCUAUGUUGCCAGCGGGUUAUGCCGGGGACUCGUAGGAGACUGCCGGGGUCAACUCGGAGGAAGGUGGGGAUGACGUCAAGUCAUCAUGCCCCUUAUGUCCAGGGCUUCACACAUGCUACAAUGGCCGGUACAAAGGGCUGCGAUGCCGUGAGGUGGAGCGAAUCCUUUCAAAGCCGGUCUCAGUUCGGAUCGGGGUCUGCAACUCGACCCCGUGAAGUCGGAGUCGCUAGUAAUCGCAGAUCAGCAACGCUGCGGUGAAUACGUUCCCGGGCCUUGUACACACCGCCCGUCACGUCAUGAAAGUCGGUAACACCCG
rnacentral:rRNA from 1 species